AUCAAGCUUUUUUAUUUGGUUUCAGCAUAUUCCUACAUGUAAAAAUAUCAUUUACAUGAUUAUGAAGAUAAUGCACUAUUAAUAGCUUAUAUAAGAAAUCAACUUCUUUUUUAAGCUUGUUGCUAACUUUUCUCCAAGUCUCUUUUUCUGACACUGUUAUAAUACUAAUAUCUGUCUUAUACAAUAUUUUACUUCCCUAUAAAGUUAUAACAAAGAAUAACACAACUACUUCAUGAUAAAUAAAUGUAUGUAAAUACAUGCUGUAAUAUAACACGCUGUAGAACAGUGCCUUCAUUUGUUCUCAUAUGUACAUAUUUAGGCACCAUCAUAGAAAAUCAAGGGGUAUAUCUAUUGUCACAGGGACCUUUGCCUUGUUACUGGAAAGUGGUGUGGUCCAUUUAAGGAGAGGACCUUUGUAGCAACCACCAAAGUAGAGGUUAAUGAAGGACCCUAUGGGCAAGUCAGCUGACAAGGAAGCCACCUGACCUGCAGGGUCAAUAGGCAAUAUAAGAGUCCAGAGCUGGAGAGGGUGCUAUCAGAAAGACUGGUUGGGUGCUGUUCACCUUGAAGGCUAUAAGCUACCAGGGACGGAGCCUGGUACAUAAAGGAGCAGAAUGGAGCAAUUGCCUGCAACAAAAAUAUGCAACCUGAAGAGUAGGACUUGUGUUAGCCAGUUGGCUAACCAGUGAUUUA